ACCCAAUUCACCUACACGUAUAACCCCUACCACCUGUGCAUUCUUCUAUUAGCCACGCUCACACUCCCUCAUGACUCACUUACCACCGCCAACCUCUACACACAAUACAACUUCAGCAAACAAAAUGGAAAAGAAAAGAAGAGAAAUCAGAGGAAGAGAAAUGAGAGAUGGAGAUCCAGAGAGUGAGGGAACCGCGAGGAAGAAGAGAAGGAGAAGGGCGUGGCGUUGGCGGCUGGGUACCGCUGCCGUUCAACUCUUCGUCGCACCGUCCACGUCGAGCUCGUCCCAUCACUGUCAUGUCACGAAGGAAGGGUCGCCGCCGUUCGUGCCUUGCCGUCACCAUUCGCGGAGGGAGAGGAAGCAAGUGCGCUAGAGGAGCUGUUGUCGCAGCCAUUGUUGCCGCCGCUGCCGCCGUGACCGCGGGCGUAGUCCGCCGUCGGGUCGUGUGCCACUGAUGGUGGUGAACCAAACGUCGCCCUUGAUGCUGGAGAAGAACCCCAGAGUUGCUGUUCUGCUUUCGAAUCCUCUCUUUCUGAAAUUCUCCGCCACUUUGCUUCUAAUAUCUGCUACAACUAGUGUUGGUGUCGAUGCUGUUUUGGGACUGUUGUAGUUGUUGCUGGUUCUGUGUGAGGUUACUGCUGCUGCGAGAUAGGAAGAAAAAAAAAGGGAGAUUGUCGCGGUUAUGGAUUUCUUCGAGUUUCGGUUAAUUGAGGUAGGGGAUUUGUUUUAAAAAUAAAUGUUUUAAGUUAUGAAUGCCAUUAAAAUUAAAUGAGUAACUGCAAAUGGUUUAUGGUUGCUUUGCGUGAAUAAUUGUUGGAAUUGAGUUGAAUCAUGGAUGUAGUUGGUGAUUGGUUUAAUGAUUUAAUGUAGUAAUUAUUGAC